rnacentral:other from 6 species
CUGGGUCUAGUAGUUGGCAUAUUAAUUAUUCGCCCUACUAAGCGUAAUAAAGGGAGUGGUCCCUGAUCAUGGUGAGCAAGCUCACAAGUUUUAAACUUAUAGUGAGAAGCCUAAAGUGAUUACAACUGCACCCACCUGUCAAACGGCGGGCGGAAUAGAUUCAAGAACGCCAUAUCAAAACUAGGCCCUUU